rnacentral:lncRNA from 1 species
GUUUGUUUUUUUUUUUUUUUUUUUCCCCUGUUUGUUUUCUUUUUUUUUUUCUUUUCUUCUAUCUGGACAGGAAAAAUUGUUCUUCUAGAGAGAGAAAAGUCUAAGCUGUAUUUCUUUUUGAGAUGAAAGAGAGAGUAGGUAAGUGGUAUUGUAAAUGGGAAGGAGUGAAAGGAUAAAAUCGUCUUUUGAGGUGAAUUAUAAUGUGGACCAUUUUCUGUCUUUUUAUUCCUUUAAAUUAUUGUUAAUUAAGGCCAAUAUUGAUAAGGAGGCAAGCCAAAGGACGGUCACGGCGCUUCUUCUUUCAUUUAUUACGUUGAAGCAAUCUGGAUCUGACUGCUGCAAACGGCGGAGAUGGAUUUCCGGCGGAGUCACGAGGAAGUAACAAAAGUGCUGGUGGAGUACAGGCUGGCGAUUUAAUUACAGUCGGACCCAAUUUGACAAAGGUAAUGGAUGCUCCAAUUUGUAUUUUUAUUUAUUAUGACGUAAUUGCCCAUCUGAGAUGCUUGCAAUUUCAAAAUGCCAUUCACCCAUUCGCUAGAGAGGGUAUUUAAACCUGAAUUCUAAAUAUAAUAAUUUCAGGUAUUGUUACCUUUAUUUAAUAUUUCAUUUUUUUAAAAAAUAAUUCAAGGGAAACUCUUAUCUUUUGAGUAAAAAGCAACAAGACGCUGAUCUUAUGAUUAAUGAAUUUACGGCCGUCGGAUGCCUUGAGGUAUCUGA